rnacentral:rRNA from 1 species
UGGGGAAUUUUGGACAAUGGGCGAAAGCCUGAUCCAGCAAUGCCGCGUGUGUGAAGAAGGCCUUCGGGUUGUAAAGCACUUUUGUCCGGAAAGAAAUCCUUGGCUCUAAUACAGUCGGGGGAUGACGGUACCGGAAGAAUAAGCACCGGCUAACUACGUGCCAGCAGCCGCGGUAAUACGUAGGGUGCAAGCGUUAAUCGGAAUUACUGGGCGUAAAGCGUGCGCAGGCGGUUUGCUAAGACCGAUGUGAAAUCCCCGGGCUCAACCUGGGAACUGCAUUGGGUGACUGGCAGGCUAGAGUAUGGCAGAGGGGGGUAGAAUUCCACGUGUAGCAGUGAAAUGCGUAGAGAUGUGGAGGAAUACCGAUGGCGAAGGCAGCCCCCCUGGGCCAAUACUGACGCUCAUGCACGAAAAGCGUGGGGAGCAAACAGGAUUAGAUACCCCUGGUAGUCCACGCCCUAAACGAUGUCAACUAGUUGUUGGGGGAUUCAUUUCCUUAGUAACGUAGCUAACGCGUGAAGUUGACCGCCUGGGGAGUACGGUCGCAAGAUUAAAACUUAAAGGAAUUGACGGGGUCAUAGCUG